rnacentral:rRNA from 1 species
CUACGUGCCAGCAGCCGCGGUAAUACGUAGGUGGCAAGCGUUGUCCGGAAUUAUUGGGCGUAAAGGGCGCGCAGGCGGCUUCUUAAGUCUGUCUUAAAAGUGCGGGGCUUAACCCCGUGAUGGGAUGGAAACUGGGAAGCUCAGAGUAUCGGAGAGGAAAGCGGAAUUCCUAGUGUAGCGGUGAAAUGCGUAGAUAUUAGGAGGAACACCAGUGGCGAAAGCGGCUUUCUGGACGAAAACUGACGCUGAGGCGCGAAAGCCAGGGGAGCGAACGGGAUUAGAUACCCUGGUAGUCCACACCGUAAACGAUGGAUACUAGGUGUUGGCAAUGAAUAAUUGUCGGUGCCGGCGCUAACGCAAUAAGUAUCCCACCUGGGGAGUACGACCGCAAGGUUGAAACUCAAAGGAAUUGACGGGGGCCCGCACAAGCAGUGGAGUAUGUGGUUUAAUUCGAUGCUACGCGAAGAACCUUACCAAGGCU